GCGGAGGGCCGGAUGGCCGCGUGGGGUUCGCCCUACGAGGAAAGUCCGGACUCCACAAGGCAACGGUGCCGGGUAACGCCCGGCGGGGGCAACCCCAGGGAAAGCGCCACAGAGAACAGUCAGCCCUCGUCCGCGGGGGUCAUGGUGAAACGGUGGGGUAAGAGCCCACCGCCCUGUUGGUAACAACGGGGGCACGGCAAGCCCCACCGGGAGCAAUGCCAAAUAGGGAUCGCAUAUGGGCCUGCCUUGGCCCGGUGAUCCGGGUUGGCAGCUAGAGCCUGCGGGUAAUCGCAGGCCCAGAGGAAUGGUCAUCCAGAGGGGGCAACCCCUUGGACAAAAUCCGGCUUACAGGCCCUCCGCGCGU
rnacentral:RNase_P_RNA from 1 species